CGCCCUCCCCGGGCCGCGCGGCCGGAGCUGGCACUGAGCACUAGCAGCCGCGGCGGCUUCGCGUCCUAGGCACGCCAGCGCCUCGCCGGACACGGCGUCCCCGAGAGCGCCCGGCGCGCACAGAUCUGCCUUCCACGGUGCCGGGCUGCCCGGGGGCGUCCGGCGCUCCCCGAGGGCGGGCGUGUCCGCGCGGCGCCGGGCGGGGCACGGGCGCGGGGCCUCAGCCUGUUGGAGCGCCGGGGGCGCCGGACCGGGGGCGUCUGGAGCCCUGCGGGGUCCGGGCCGCCCGGGUCCCACGCAGAGCAGUGUUUUCCAACUCUCCGCCUGCGUCUCAUCGGGGCCCACCGCCACCCGGAGAGACCCCGUCCAGAUCUGCAGAGUGUCAUGAAAAAGGAACGGAAAAGAGACGUCACUGUUGGUGAAAGGGGAGUUUUCUUUCCCAGUUGGCGGUUACUUCAUGAUUGGAAAAGAAGUACCUAGGUGGUUGCAAAGAUUAGAUUUUCAUAAUUGUACAUACAGAUGAAGCUUUGUUAAAAGAAGAUGAGAAUAUGCUUUCUCAGAUGGGUCAUAAUAGGCCAAUGAGUAAGUAAGCCUGAACAAGACAGAUUGGAAAUGAGGGCAGGAAUCCGGAGUGUUUUAAAACCAAGUAGGACUUUGAACACUUGCUGAGGAUGUUUUUCUCCCAAAAAUGGAGGAAGAAAAAAAAUUCUCACAGCCAGAAGUGUAAAAAGCUGAGCGGAGUAACAACCCAGUCUGCUCCAAGGAUUUCAGUACUUCAUCAACUUCUUUGAGAGCACACAAAAGCAUCAGACCGGUAUGAUGAUCUUAUCACCAGUGAUGGUUUCCUGCACGAGGAAUGACUUCUUAAUUUGGAUUUUGGAGUGCCUUUUUUUUUUUUUUUUUAAUUAUUACAAUGUGGGGUUUUUGACUCUUCAUGUUAGGUAGAUUUCUGUCAAAGAAGUAAAUUGUGAAUUCAUAGUAUUCUUGACUAUUUCCACUCCUGUUUUCUAUGUGACAUGAGAAAAUCAGAGGCUUUAACAUUCUUUGAAGUUUUAUUGGAAGCAACACUGCAUCAGGGAGGCAGAUUCACAGUGUAAGAUUUCUCUUUUUGGCAACUAUACUUUGAAUGAGCUGAAUGUCAGCAGGAUUUCACAGCACAUACAAUUUACAGUCUUUGUUUUAUCAAGGCCUUAAAUGUAUGUUUUAUACUCAGCAGGUGGGAAGCACAUUGAGCGCUGCAUUUGACAUGUAUGCCUGAGGAAAGGAGCUCCCCGAUGGAUCAUGGCGUUAAUGUUUACAGGACAUUGCUUAUUUUUAGUAUUAGUGAUGUUUGCUUUCUCUACUUUGGAGGAAUCUGUGAGCAAUUACUCUGACUGGGCAGUUUUCACAGAUGACAUAGAUCCAUUUAAGACACAAAGAGUGCAAGAUGUCAGACCCAAUCAAAAACCGAAGAAGAGUAUGCUUCAUCCACGUUUGUAUUUUGAUGCUGGAGAGAUCCAAGCAAUGAGACAGAAGUCUCGCACGACCCAUUUGCACCUUUUUAGAGCAAUCAGAAGCGCGGUGACUGCUAUGCUGUCGAACCCGACUUACUACCUACCUCCACCCAAGCAUGCUGAUUUUGCUGCCAAGUGGAAUGAAAUCUAUGGUAACAAUCUGCCUCCUUUAGCGCUGUACUGUUUACUGUGCCCGGAAGACAAAGUUGCCUUUGAAUUUGCCUUGGAAUACAUGGAUAGGAUGGUGGGCUACAAAAACUGGCUGGUGGAGAAUGCACCAGGGGAUGAGGUUCCAGUUGGCCAUUCCCUAACAGGUUUUGCCACUGCCUUUGACUUUUUAUAUAAUUUAUUAGAUGGUCGUCGGAGACAAAGAUACCUAGAAAAAAUAUGGGUUAUUACUGAGGAAAUGUAUGAGUUUUCUAAGGUCCGCUCCUGGGGCAAACAACUUCUUCACAACCACCAAGCUACUAACAUGAUAGCACUGCUCACCGGGGCUUUGGUGACUGGGGUAGAUAAAGCAACUAAGGUAAAUCUGUGGAAACAGGUUGUAGUAGAUGUGAUGGAAAAGACCAUGUUUCUGUUGAAUCACAUUGUUGAUGGCUCUUUGGAUGAAGGUGUGGCCUAUGGAAGCUACACAGCUAAAUCAGUCACACAAUAUGUUUUUCUGGCCCAGCGUCACUUUAAUAUCAACAACUUGGAUAACAACUGGUUAAAAAUGCACUUUUGGUUCUAUUAUUCCACCCUUUUGCCAGGCUUCCAAAGGACUGUGGGGAUAGCAGAUUCCAAUUAUAACUGGUUUUAUGGUCCUGAGAGCCAGUUAGUUUUUUUGGAUAAAUUUGUCUUAAAGAAUGGAGCUGGGAAUUGGUUAGCUCAGCAAAUCAGAAGGCACCGACCUAAAGAUGGACCCAUGGUUCCCUCCACCGCCCAGAGGUGGAGUACCCUUCACACUGAAUACAUCUGGUAUGACCCCCAGCUCACCCCACAGCCUCCUAAGGAAUAUGGCACUGCGAAAUUGCACAUGUUCCCUAACUGGGGUGUGGUCACUUAUGGGGCUGGGCUGCCAAAUACACAGACCAAUACCUUUGUGUCUUUUAAGUCUGGGAAGCUAGGAGGGCGUGCUGUGUAUGACAUAGUUCACUUCCAGCCAUACUCCUGGAUUGAUGGGUGGAGGAGCUUCAACCCUGGACAUGAACAUCCGGAUCAGAACUCAUUUACCUUUGCCCCCAACGGGCAGGUGUUUGUUUCUGAAGCUCUCUAUGGACCCAAGUUGAGCCACCUAAACAACGUGCUGGUGUUCGCGCCGUCACCCACGAGCCAGUGUAAUAAGCCCUGGGAAGGUCAGCUGGGAGAAUGUGCACAGUGGCUCAAGUGGACCGGCGAGGAGGCUGGUGAUGCAGCCGGGGAAAUCAUUACUGCCUCUCAGCACGGGGACAUGAUAUUUGUGAGUGGGGAAGCCGUGUCGGCUUACUCUUCAGCGAUGAAGCUGAAAAGCGUGUAUCGGGCUUUGCUUCUCUUAAACUCUCAGACUCUGCUUGUUGUUGAUCACGUCGAGAAGCAAGAAGAUUCCCCAAUAAAAUCUGUCAGUGCCUUCUUCCAUAAUCUGGAUAUUGAUUUUAAGUACAUCCCGUAUAGAUUCAUGAACAGGUAUAAUGGCGCCUUGAUGGACGUGUGGGAUGCUCACUACAAGAUGUUUUGGUUUGAUCAUCGUGGCAGUAGCCCUCUUGCUAGUAUACAGGAAGCAGAGCAAGCCGCUGAAUUUAAGAAACGGUGGACUCAGUUUGUCAAUGUUACGUUUCAGAUGGAAUCCGCAAUCACAAGAAUCGUGUAUGUCUUCUAUGGGCCAUACGUCAAUGUUUCCAGCUGCAGAUUUAUUGAUAAUUCCAAUUCUGGACUUCAGCUUUCUCUCAAUGUCAAUAACACCGACCAUGUUGUUUCGAUCGUGACCGACUACCAGAACUUGAAGACAAGGUUUGACUACCUGGGAUUUGGCGGCUUUGCCACUGUAGCUGAUCAGGCCCAAAUAACCCGCUUUGGUUUGGGUGCUGAGGCAAUAGUAAAGCCUGUAAGACGUGAUAGAGUUAUUUUCCCCUUUGGAUUUAAAUUUAAUGUAGCAGUUGGGUUGAUUUUGUGCAUUGGCCUGGUGAUCUUAACUUUUCAGUGGCGGUUUUACCUUUCUUUUAGAAAGCUUAUGCGAUGGAUCCUCAUCCUUGUUAUUGCCUUGUGGUCUGUUGAGCUGCUGGACGUGUGGAGCACUUGCACUCAGCCCAUCUGUGCCAAGUGGGCGAGGCCAGAAACUGAGGUGAGCGCGCAGGCGCCGGCCGCGGGAGGCCAGCGCGCAGACCCGCCAGACGUCAUCAUUACCUCACUUCCUGGUUCCGGAGCCGAGAUUCUCAAACAACUCUUCUUCAACAGCAGUGACUUCCUGUAUAUCCGGGUCCCCACAGCCUACAUUGACAUCCCGGAAACGGAAUUGGAAAUCGACUCUUUUGUGGACGCCUGUGAAUGGACAGCAUCUGACGUCCACGGCGUGCGUUUCCGUUUACUCCGAGGCUGGCUGCAGUCCUUGGUCCGAGACACGAAACUCCACUUGCAGAACAUCCAUCUGCACGAACCCAGUAGGGGGAAACUGGCCCAGUAUUUUACCAUGAAUAAAGACAAGAAAAGGAAGUUGAAAAGGAGAGAGUCUCUGGCAGAACAAAGAAGCAGAAUGAAAGGCGCCUUUGACAGAGACGCUGAAUACGUCCGGACUCUGCGGAGGCACCUGGUCCACUACCCCAGCGCGCGGCCGGUGCUCAGCCUGGGCAGCGGGAGCUGGACCUUAAAGCUGCAUUUCUUUCACGAGGUGUUGGGAGCCUCCAUGAGGGCCUUGUACGUGGUGAGGGACCCUCGGGCGUGGGUUUAUUCCAUGCUGUAUAGUAGUAAACCUAGCCUUUACUCUUUGAAGAAUGUACAGGAGCACUUAGCUAAGCUGUUUAAAACGGAGGGAAGUGCAGGCCGUUGUACCUUGAACUCAGGCUAUGCUGUCGAGUAUGAAUUGCUGAGGAAGGAACUGUUGGCAUCCAGACCUCACCCAGUCUCGCUGCUGGCCCACGCGUGGCUGGCAAACACUGCCGCUGCCCUGAGGAUAAAUGCAGACCUGCUGCCCACCAGCUACCAGCUGAUCAAGUUUGAAGAUCUUGUGCAUUUCCCUCAGAAAACCACGGAAAGGAUUUUUGCCUUCCUUGGGAUUCCUUUAUCUCCUGCUACUUUAAACCAAAUAUUGUUUGCCACCUCCACGAACCUUUUCUACCUUCCCUACGAAGGGGAGAUAUCACCCGCUAAUACUAACGUUUGGAAACGAAACUUGUCGAAGGAUGAAAUUAAACUAAUUGAGAACAUCUGCUGGACGCUGAUGGAUCGUCUAGGAUACCCAAAGUUUAUGGACUGAGUGCUGCAGGUCAGCAGAGAUUUGCACUAAUACUUUCCAACCCAAUUUGUGGAUAUGAAUUAGAAGUUUGUUUAUUCUUGUACUGUGUGUGUUUGUGUGUGUGUUUGUGAUCAAUUCGUUACAUGCAGAGAGAGAUUAUUUUAAAAAUAAGCACUGUAUUUGGCCUAGCAGGAUUUAUUUUUAUGUCACCACUUUCCUUGCCUUUGUCUCUGAUUUUUUUUCUGCUCAGAUGUUUGUGCCACGGAGGUGUAGAUGAAGUUAUAUUACCAUGGUCAGGGGAGAUAGGAGGAUUUUAAAGGUUUUUGUCUAACUCUCCGCUUCAUCUGUAACUCAGCUGAUCUAGCCCAGAGCCUCAUGCACUGCUUAAAGCCUGGCAGUUACUGCUUUACCCAAGCGCCUCUUGCUUUCAAGACGAAGUACAAAAGUUUCUUAUCUUUUUUAGAAGGUGUCCCAACACAUUUAUCUUGCACACCACACAUACACACAAAUCCUUUUACUGUGUAGAAUGUUCACAGAUAUCACUGGGGAAAUGGUGAAAGCUCCUAUCGGAAUUAUCAGAUCCCUUCUGGAAAAUACAGAUGGAAGUACAGAAUGGACUUUUUUUUUCUUUCUUUCUUUCUUUUGAGGUAAGAAACAGUGACCUGAAAAUCCUCCUUAAAGUGUUUUACUUAAAAGUCAUAAGGAAUCAGUUUUGGAACAGUGGAUGCCAAGGGCUGGUAGGGUAUUUUAGGCCCUCUUGUCUCUUUAAAGCCCUCUCCUUCUUGCUUCCUUGAAACUGCAGCUGUUGACCAUCACCACUCCCACCCUGUCCUUUCUGCCACUCACGCAAAACAGUCAGUAGUUACUAAUGGCUAAACUCUGAUAUUUGUGGGGAUUUUCUUCUCCCCUGUCCUGAUGAUUAAUUUUGUAUCAAAGCCUGACCGCCUUAGAAUCAGAUUUCUCCUUGUGGAAUUAUCACUCUAUGAGUCAAAGCAGUGCUGCUGCCGCCAGUGUUUUUUAGACUGGAAACAGAAUUGGAAAACUGCCUGACUUAUCCUGCGUCCCUUUGAAUGAGUCUCCAGACUGCUGGUGUCUGCAGAAGUUGAAGGCCAAUGGCAGAUGAUGUCAGAGGCAUCUGUUUCCUUUACCAUCUGCAUCUUAUUAUAAAUGUCGUCGUCAGAACACAUGGUUCGUUUUAUUUUGAUAGACGCUGAAAUCAAAAUGCGAUGCCAUUAGAGACCAGUGGAGCAGUUACAGUGAACUGGAUGAAAAUGAUGAGGCAGUGUGGAGACUUGAUGCAACUCUCUGUAGACUGCAGUCGCUUCCUGAUGUUUCAAACUGUAUUUUCACACCACCCCUCUCACCCCCCAGGCACUAACACUUGGGAUUCUGUCAUUCUGACCUAGAUAAAAGUGGCUCUUUCUCAGUAGUUUGUUGUUAUGUCAAAAUGUGCCUCCAGGGUGAUCAAGCUGUGGGUAUGUUACAUUCCAGCUGAAGCUAACCAGGCUGUCAUUUUCCUUCCCUUACAGUAGGAAAGCCACCCUCUCCUUCCCCACGCCUACUUCCUGGCGUAGCUCUCCCUGCCUUCUCUCUACAAUGUCAAAAUGAAUGAAAAUCUGUUGUAUUAAUACAGGUUGAGAGGGCAACCAAAGACUCAAAUCCGCACUGUUAUUCUCAAGGAAGAUUAUUCUUCCUAUCUCAGGGUUAUCACGAUGCAUGUAACAUUUCUACAUGGAUGAUAACACCAUUUCCAUUACUGGUCAGCAUCUCAGUGUCUGCUUUCAAUUCCCAGGAUGUGCGAUCUUAUAUCAAAUAAAAAGGCUUUGGGUUGAAAGUAAUAUGAGGUUCAAUCAAGGUAAGAAUUACCAAUGUGUGCAGGUAACAGCAGAGAACACAGAUUCUGGACCACUGCCUUGCCUUUAACUUUGCACAGAAACAUGCUCACAGGCAGAAGAGAGCCAGGUUGAGUAUGCGCAGGAGUUAGGGAAGAGAUGCGGAAAAUGAAAAAGAAAGCAGUUCUGUGAAUGAAUAUGGGAACAAAAUGAGAAUGCGUUACUAAUAGAUAAGGAAAGGGACGCACUUAAGGUGAUCUUCACAGGGUAUCUUUCACCACGUAGGAAGGUCAGGGUGAAUUUCCUUGUCUACUUCUGACCCAAGGGAAAGUUUGCUGGAGGAGAUGCCUUAGGUUCACAGGUUCUGUUUCUGAGGAGUGUUAUACAUAGGUGAAAGCUGGCCCAGCCAUUGUAUAUGCAAGGACUUGUUCAUGCUUGGGACCCACUGCCUUAACAUCCCAAUUAUGAUCUCAGAACACCAAGGUCCUGUACUUCCAGAGUGUUACCCUAGGAAAACUGUGAACAGACUCUACACUUACUUCUACUCUGAUCGUCACAAAAAUAAAGCAACACUGAUGACUUUGUGACAUUUUCAAAGGAAACACAAAAAGUUUUUUCCAUAAAAAUAAUUCUUUCCUUCAUUAAUUUCCCCAAACUUGGGCUCAAUUGGAAUAAAAGCAUUUAUUAAAAUAAUACUGUUUACAUAUUGAAAUUCUGAAAGAAUGGGUUACUUUUGCUGACACAAAAAGUAACUUAAGGGUGGUGGUAAUGUUGAUCUAGUUUUCAAAAGUUAGAAAUGAUGCAAAUUACUCACUUUGGAUGAGAGAGGCCAUAUCCAUAGCUGAAUUUACUGUAAUGACAAUUCCAGGAAGGAAGGAAAUGGGAGAACCUGCUUAGGAGAAAGAAGUCUAUGGUUAUACUUAAUCUAUAGAAACCUGAAAGGCAUGAAUUUUAGGUAGAUACACUUUAACGCCUCCAUAAUGAGCCUAGAACCUGAGUAUUAGAUGUUUGAUUAAUUGGCUUUUUGGAUAAACAGAAUAAUUAGUACUAUAUGUGCCUGGCAGGAAUGGGGUAAUUAUUUAUGUCUAAUUCCCAGGUGUGGGAUAGGAUCUGCCAUUAGUACCUUCAUAUUUGAAGAAGAGACUCCACACACUAGAUCACAACCCAGGAGCAGUUCCAGAGCCUCCAGUUGGAACCUCAGCCUUCUAGCGAGGAGCCCGGGACAGCACGCGCCUCUGCCACACACCUACGAUCACAGGGUUCAUCCCACUGAGGACAGGAGUUCCUCUUCUGUGAGUGGUUUUCCCUGGAUACUACCAUCCAAACCCUGGCUGAGGCUCACCAUCUGCAAACAGAAGGCGCUGUUUUGCUGAGCCUUGCACAUGUCAGGCCUGCUGCCCCCACUUCUCCAACUGUAGGUAUGAUGGAUAGGUUAUGCUAGUAUGUGGACACUGAAAAGAUGUGCUGACCCUAUCAGAAGCCCUCUUCUCUGAUACUGAUAAGUCUCUGUGACCAGAGCUGGGACUGAGUCAGAACUCCUAUACUCACACCCUACCCUGUGGUACAGAGCCUAUACCUCUGACCUUCCAUUACUGCAUCCUCCUGCCCUUACCAGCGACCCCAGAGGUAACAACUAUCCUAGAUUUUGUGUUUGCCAUUCCUGUGCUCUUCUUUAUAGUUCCACCACAUAUGUCUCUAUAUUUAUCAACACAUUGUGCAUUUUUGCAUGUUUUUAUACAUUAUGUAAACCAGUAACAUACUGCAUAUAUUAUUACACAGCUUGCUUUUCUUCACUCAAAAUUUUGUCUAAUGCAUGUUGAUGUUUGUAGGUGGAGAGCACUUAUUUCCAACAUGAUGGGUUCCAGUAUAGACUACUGUCCAGAAAGCAUACUUUGUUAAUCUUUCAUCUUGUUGGAUUUGGGGAAUAUUUUUAAUUUUUAUAAUUUUAAGCAUUACACAUAAAACUUUAUAUAUGCUAUAUAAUGCACAUAUGUUAAUGCAAGAAUUUUGUCAUUGUGUUUUUUUUUUGGUACCCAGAAACCUUCCCACCCAGCCACACUGCAGCCUAGUGUAUAUAUUGAGGGCUUAAAGCACAUCCUCAAGUAUUCUUGAUACCAAAUUAUUAUUUUCACAGAUUGUUUGUACAAGUUGACACUCUAGCAAUCGUUGAAAAGCUUGUGUUGCUCCAAAGCUCCUCCUGUACUUGGCAUUGUCAUACUUUUAAAUAUUUUUCUGUCUAGUGGGAUAAAAGAGUGCUAUUUUUUUUUCAGUUCUGUUAAUAACAUAGAACACAUGUGCAGCACAUGCACUAGUGUACACACACACACAGUAUUCCUUAUUUUUCCCAUUUGUGUUUCUUCUUUUGUGAAAAGAAAUCAUGCUCCUGUCCUUUAUCCAUUUUCCCAUGGCAUUCAUUUUUUUCUCAUUGAUUCAUUGACAUUUACUGUAUGUUAAUAGUACUAACCCUUUUUUGGUUAUACUUGCUGUGAAUAACUUCUUGGCUUAUAUUUUUAUGAUCUUUGUACUAUGACUUUUAUGACAUUUUGAUAUGCAGGUGUUCUUAAUUUGAAUGUAGAUAAAAUAUGUUUACAAAUAAUUUCUCUUUAUUACUUAUACUUUUUUACAUCUUAUCAAAGAAUCUUAGUGUCUUGGCACUGAAAAAGUUCUCCUGUAUUUUCCUAUCAUUAUCAAUUGCUGCCAAGCAAUAUUACCACACGUGUAAUGGCUUAGAACAGCACACAUUCAUUGUCUCACAGUUUCUGUGGGUCGGGAAUCCAAGCCUGGCUGAACUUGGUCAGUCUGCUCGUACAUGUGGCUGCAGUGACGUUGCUGGGACUGGGAUCUCAUCUGAGAAGCACCCACUUCCCAGCUCAUGUGAUUGUUGGCAAGACUGAAUUCUUUGUGGGCUAUUGGACUAAAAGCCUCAGUUCUUUUCUGCCUGUUGGCAGGAGACCUUGAAUCACUUGCCAUGUGAGCUUCUCCAUUGGCAGUUAACUUCAUGAAGUCAGGAUGAGAGAAUCUAUAGAGAAACUGCUAACACGCUAUCAUCAUCUUGGAAGCAACACCCAGGCAGCUUUGGUUAGAAGCUAGACUGAGGUCCCCUUACCCCUACACCCAGGGGAAAGGGUUUCCACAAGGAGAGGACUACCAGGAGAUGGAGAGCUUAUUUUAGAUUCUUCCUGCCACACAUUUUGCCUUUUAUAUUUAAAUACUUAAUCUGCAUAUUUAGUUGGUCAGUCAAGUCCGACUCUUUGGGAUCCCGUGGACUGUAGCCCAUUAGGCAACUCUGUUCAUGAAAUUUCCUGGGAUUUCCCAGGCAAGAAUACUGGAGUGAGUUGCCAUUUCCUUCUCCAUUUAAUCUGCUUUACAUGAAUUGUUAAAUCCAUUCUGAGUUUUUUUUUUUUCCCUGUAUGAAUAACCUGCUGUCCUAGACUGAAAGGGUUCAGUACACUCUCCCUUCCACUAAUCUUCAGUGCCAUUUCUCCUGCAUAUCAAGUCCUUACAUUUUGCAUGAGCUGAUUUCUGAGAUCUCUACUGUACUCCACUGGCAAAUUUGAUUACCCAAUGACAAUACUGCACUGUCUUAAUUACUGCAGUCUUUUUGUUGGCCUUGAAAUCUGGCAAGGCAAGUCUUCUUAUUUUCUUUUUUCUAUUUCUUAAGACUUUGUUCUUCCAUAUGCAUUUUAGAAUUAGUUUGCAUAGAUCCUCAAAGCAAGCAAAGAACAAUACAUGUUAUUGUAAAUGUGUUACAUCAAUUUUGGGAGAAUUGACCUCUUUAAUUAAUCCCAAUUCAUAAGCAUGUAUAUCUCUCCUUUUAUAUAACAUUUGUUAAUCCUUUGAUAGAUUUAAGUAUGAGCACUUUAUAUAUUACAGUGAAUCAUAUUUAUGUUUAAUGAUAUGUCCUAACUGAUGAUAGUAUGUAGAAAAUACAGUUGACUUUUGUGUAUUUAUAUUGUAUCAGGGAACUUACUAAUUUAAUAAUUUACCUGUAAAUUUUUUUGAAAUACUUAUAUGAGAUGAUUUUGUAAUCUGUAAUUGAUAGAAUACAUUUCCUUCCUUUUAAUUUUAUAAUUUUUUAAUGUUCUUACUGGAUUUGUUAGGACGUCCUGUAAAGUACUGACUGGAUCUGGCAAUGUGAAUAUUCUUGUACUGUUUCUAAUGUGAAUGGAGUAAUUGUGCAUUUCACCACUGAGCAAAUGAAUGGAUGCUGUGUGUAUUUCAUAGAUUCCCUUUAUCAGGAUGUGGUACUCCCUUCUAUUGCCAGUUGAUAAUUGCCUUUUUAUCAUCAAUGCAUGAUGAGAUUUAUUCAUGCCUUUGCUGUAUUUAUUGUGAUAAUCAUAUGUUUCUUUGCCCUAAUCUGUUAAUGCAAUGUAUUUUGUGAAAACAUUUUUUUCUUUUGAGAUUAAACCAAAUUUGGCUUGCUAUGAUGAAA